GGAAGUGUGGCAGAGAGGUUUAUCGCAGAAUCCUGCUAAGAUUCCGUGUCGAGUAAUCGGCACCGUUGGUUCGAAUCCAACCACUUCCACUA
rnacentral:tRNA from 1 species